rnacentral:rRNA from 1 species
AUUGAACGCUGGCGGCAUGCUUUACACAUGCAAGUCGAACGGUAACAGGGAGCUUGCUCCGCUGACGAGUGGCGAACGGGUGAGUAAUAUAUCGGAACGUACCCAAGAGUGGGGGAUAACGUAGCGAAAGGUACGCUAAUACCGCAUACGAUCCAAGGAUGAAAGUGGGGGACCGCAAGGCCUCAUGCUCCUGGAGCGGCCGAUAUCUGAUUAGCUAGUUGGUGAGGUAAAGGCUCACCAAGGCAACGAUCAGUAGCUGGUCUGAGAGGACGACCAGCCACACUGGGACUGAGACACGGCCCAGACUCCUAUGGGAGGCAGCAGUGGGGAAUUUUGGACAAUGGGGGCAACCCUGAUCCAGCAAUGCCGCGUCAGUGAAGAAGGCCUUCGGGUUGUAAAGCUCUUUUGUCAGGGAAGAAACGGGAGUGGCUAAUAUCCAUUUCUAAUGACGGUACCUGAAGAAUAAGCACCGGCUAACUACGUGCCAGCAGCCGCGGUAAAAC